GCUGCACCAUGAAUUCAGUGACCUAUGAUGAUGUGCAUGUCGACUUCACUUGGGAAGAAUGGACUUUGCUGACUCCUUCCCAGAAGAAUCUCUACAAAGAUGUGAUGGUAGAGACCUACAGAAACCUCACUACUAUAGGAUACAGUUGGGAAGACCAUAAUAUUGAAGAACAUCGUCAAAAUUCUAGAAGAC